AUUGAACGCUGGCGGCAGGCCUAACACAUGCAAGUCGAGCGAGCGGCGGACGGGUGAGUACUGUCUGGGAAACUGCCUGAUGGAGGGGGAUAACUACUGGAAACGGUAGCUAAUACCGCAUACCAUCAGAUGUGCCCAGAUGGGAUUAGCUAGUAGGUGGGGUAACGGCCCACCUAGGCGACGAUCCCUAGCUGGUCUGAGAGGAUGACCAGCCAACCUGGAACUGAGACAGGGUCCAGAUUCCUAGGGGAGGCAGCAGUGGGGAAUAUUGCACAAUGGGCGCAAGCCUGAUGCAGCCAUGCCGCGUGUGUGAAGAAGGCCUGCGGGUUGUAAAGCACUGUCAGCGGGGAGGCGUUACCCGCAGAAGAAGCACCGGCUAACUCCGUGCCAGCAGCCGCGGUAUUC
rnacentral:rRNA from 1 species